rnacentral:rRNA from 1 species
AACGAACGCUGGCGGCAUGCUUAACACAUGCAAGUCGAACGGAUCAUGGACUUCGGUUUAUGGUUAGUGGCAGACGGGUGAGUAACGCGUGGGAACGUACCGUAUGGUUCGGAAUAACUAAGGGAAACUUUAGCUAAUACCGGAUAAGCCCUUAGGGGGAAAGAUUUAUCGCCAAACGAGCGGCCCGCGUUAGAUUAGGUAGUUGGUGGGGUAAAGGCCUACCAAGCCUACGAUCUAUAGCGGGUCUGAGAGGAGUAUCAGCCACACUGGGACAGGGACACGGCCCAGACUGCUACGGGAGGCAGCAGUGGGGAAUAUUGGACAAUGGGGGCAACCCUGAUCCAGCAAUGCCGCGUGAGUGAAGAAGGCCUUCGGGUUGUAAAGCUCUUUUGUCAGGGAAGAUAAUGACGGUACCUGACGAAUAAGCUCCGGCUAACUUCGUGCCAGCCGCCGCCGUAAUAC